CCUAAUCCCAGUUUAAAAAAUUCACAUGCCCUUGCCCAAUUUAUCCUUCACAUUCAUGUCCAAUGGAUUCCUCCAUAGGCGUCCUAAUGACCUACCCAAUGUCCGAUUACCUCGAACAACAACUCCAAAAGCGCUUCAACCUCUUCAAACUCUGGACCCAUUCCUCGCACUCCGAUUUCUUGAAGAACAACUCCAACUCCAUCCAAGCAUUGGUGGGGAACACCAAAAUCGGUGCCGACGCAGAGCUCAUCGACUCGCUGCCCAAGUUGGAGAUCGUUUCGAGUUACAGUGUGGGGUUGGAUAAGAUUGAUCUGAGCAAAUGCCAGGAGAAGGGCAUCAGGGUUACCAACACGCCUGACGUAUUGACAGAUGAUGUUGCCGAUGCGGCGAUCGGGUUGGUCUUGGCUGUUACAAGGAGGGUUUGUGAGUGUGACCGGUUUGUGAGGAGUGGGUUGUGGAAGAAACGCGAUUUCGGAUUGGGUACCAAGUUCAGUGGUAAAUCUGUUGGAAUUGUUGGGUUGGGCAGGAUUGGUUCAGCAAUUGCAAAGAGAGCCCAAGCAUUUGACUGCCUUAUCAGUUACCACUCAAGAUCUGAGAGACCAGAAACAAAUUACAAGUACUACUCGAGCAUCAUUGACUUGGCUGCCAAUUGUCACAUCCUCAUUAUUGCAUGUGCUUUGACAGAAAAAACACACCACAUUGUCAACCGUGAAGUCAUUGAUGCCUUGGGUCCAAAGGGUAUUCUCAUCAACAUUGGACGAGGUCCACACAUUGAUGAACCAGAGCUUGUGUCUGCACUCCUUGAAGGCCGGUUAGGUGGAGCUGGGCUCGAUGUGUUUGAAAAUGAGCCAGAGGUUCCUGAGCACCUGCUUGCGCUUGAAAAUGUAGUUCUCCUGCCUCAUGUGGGAAGUGACACCGUGGAAACCAGUGAGUCAAUGGCAGACCUUGUGAUAAACAACUUGGAGGCGCAUUUUCUAAAGAAGCCACUGUUAACUCCAGUGAUUUGAUUUGAUUUAUAAGGAAAGUAAUCGUUAUUCUGGGCUUCUGCAACUCUCUGCUAUAAUCUUAUCUGUAUUGAUUGAUUGAAGGCAAAAAUUAACGGUAUGUGGAGCAUGGCUGCCACGGAUUGCGGGCAGACACUUCCUAGCGUGUGGGUUGUUCAAUGGGGGUAUUACAGAAAGUGUAGACCAUUCCUUUGGAAAGAAUGCUAUUCUCUCAAGUUGUAGAUUUGUGAGAGUCUAAAUAACAUAUUCCCAUCCCACCACUAUCAGUCUAUCCCACUAUAUUUGGCAAUCUCAAUCUAUUCUUGAAUUUGUUUUUUCUAUUUUAAAUUAAGAUUGAUUUAAGGGUGAAUGGAUAAUGCCACGUUAACAUAAUGAGAUUGUGGUGAGAUGACAGUAUGCUAUAUGUCAUUAUUCUCAAGUGAGAUGACAGUAUGAUAUAUAUCAU